GAGCAAGGGCGUCGAUUAAAAAUGGCGCAUCUUGCCUUGAAGGUUGGCGAAAACAAUGACGAUUCUCCGUGCCUAUCAAAUUUACUCUGUUUUGAUGAUGGCCUCGAACAAGUCGCAACAUU
rfam:Glycine soja cultivar W05 scaffold2141_21, whole genome shotgun sequence.